rnacentral:rRNA from 1 species
UGGGGAAUAUUGGACAAUGGGGGCAACCCUGAUCCAGCCAUGCCGCGUGAGUGAUGAAGGCCUUAGGGUUGUAAAGCUCUUUCGCCGGUGAAGAUAAUGACGGUAACCGGUAAAGAAGCCCCGGCUAACUUCGUGCCAGCAGCCGCGGUAAUACGAAGGGGGCUAGCGUUGUUCGGAUUUACUGGGCGUAAAGCGCACGUAGGCGGAUCGUUAAGUGAGGGGUGAAAUCCCAGGGCUCAACCCUGGAACUGCCUUUCAUACUGGCGAUCUGGAGUUCGAGAGAGGUGAGUGGAAUUCCGAGUGUAGAGGUGAAAUUCGUAGAUAUUCGGAGGAACACCAGUGGCGAAGGCGGCUCACUGGCUCGAUACUGACGCUGAGGUGCGAAAGCGUGGGGAGCAAACAGGAUUAGAUACCCGCGUAGUCC